GCAAAAUGUUAGAAAAAGAAAUUCAAACAGAGGAGACGUCGCAAAGAUUUAGAGUAAUUCUAAAUUGGUGAAGAAAGGUGUCUCUUCCGAUGAAGGUUCAGACUUUGCUUAAUUACUCGACGUGGGCGUCGACAGAUUGUCUGAUGCUUCUUCGUCGCCUCCGAUCGGUUAUGCUAUCACUCCUCCUCCGUGGCAGGUCAUAAUGCAAGAUUAACGGAAAUAAGUUGGUUAACAGCCUACAUCUCUUACGGAAUCGAACAGGUUAAGUGGGUUAUUUAAAAAUCUCUUUCAACUUGGAGGCUGCCUCUUUCUCAUCUCUAUGUUGUUGUCAAGUCGGUUUCCGAAAAUGGGGUUCAAUCGACCAAACCUAUCAUUAAAAUUAAUGGUAUUGUAAUAUUGUUGAAGGUAAUAAACCUUACAUAUCUCUAUUAUUUUGCUUUUACUUAAAUCCAUUGGAAAUCGAAUUUGAACACCAAAUAUACAGUCAUGGCUCUAUUUUUAUGAUUAAAAAAGAAGAAACAGAUUCAUGAGUGAUAGUGUUGACAGAGAAGAGAAUUUGGCAGCUGUGGGUAUGAUUAAAAUGUGUUUUCUUAUCCUAUAUUCUUUUCAGUGCUUAGGUUUUUUGCUUCACAUUCUUCCUCUCUUGAAAUAGAGUUAGUUCAGAAGAACAAAUUUGGGAAUUCAUCAACACGAUUGACAAGGGUUUUAAGUUGAAUUAUCUUCCAAAAGAGGUCAUAUAUCAACUAUAUUCAUCCAAUAAGGCGUACAAUGAGAGC